rnacentral:rRNA from 1 species
AAUGGCUGCAGUAAUUUGACUGUACAAAGGUAGCAUAAUCAUUAGUUUUUUAAUUAAAAGCUUGUAUGAAAGGUUGGACGAAAUAAAAUCUGUCUCUUUUUAAUAAAAUUAGAAUUUAAUUUUUAAGUUAAAAAGCUUAAAUUUAUAUAAAAGACGAGAAGACCCUAUAGAGUUUUAUAAUUUUAAUUUAAUAAUUAAUUUAGAUUUAAUAAUUUUAUUUUUUUAAAAUUAUUUUAUUGGGGUAAUAAGAAGAUUAAAAAAAUUCUUUUUUAUUUUAAUCAUUAAUUUAUGAAAUUUUAUGAUCCAUUAAAUUAUGAAUAUAAGAUUUAAUUACCUUAGGGAUAACAGCGUAAUUUUUUUUUAGAGUUCUUAUCGAUAAAAAAGUUUGCGACCUCGAUGUUGGAUUAAAGAUUAGUUUAGGUGUAGAAGUUUAAAUUUUUGGUCUGUUCGACCAUUGAAUCUUUACAUGAUCUGAGUUCAAACCGGUGUAAGCCAGGUUGGUUUCUAUCUUUAUAAAGAUUUUAUAUUUUAGUACGAAAGGACCAAGUAUAAAGUAUAAAAAUACUUAAUUUAUUGAAUAU